rnacentral:snRNA from 1 species
GUAUUCACUUCAGCAGAACAUAUACUAAAAUUGGAACUAUACAGAGAAGAUUAGCAUGGCCCCUGUGUAAGGAUGACAUGCAAAUUUGUAAAGCAUUCCAUACUUUU